rnacentral:rRNA from 1 species
CUACGGGGGGCUGCAGUGGGGAAUAUUGGACAAUGGGGGAAACCCUGAUCCAGCAAUGCCGCGUGUGUGAAGAAGGCCUGCGGGUUGUAAAGCACUUUCGGUUGGGAGGACUGCUUCUAGCACUAAUAUUGUUGGAAGUUGACGUUACCUUCAGAAGAAGCACCGGCUAACUCCGUGCCAGCAGCCGCGGUAAUACGGAGGGUGCAAGCGUUAAUCGGAAUUACUGGGCGUAAAGCGCGCGUAGGCGGCUAGAUCAGUCGGGUGUGAAAGCCCCGGGCUUAACCUGGGAACUGCAUCCGAUACUGGCUAGCUUGAGUACAGGAGAGGAGAGUGGAAUUCCACAUGUAGCGGUGAAAUGCGUAGAUAUGUGGAGGAACACCAAUGGCGAAGGCAGCUCUCUGGCCUGAUACUGACGCUAAGGCGUGAAAGCGUGGGGAGCAAACAGGAUUAGAUACCCGAGUAGUC